CUUUGAAUAAUAGUUGCCUCUCUUGUGCACAAACUAUUAGCACAAACAAAUUAUCUCCUUUGUGAGGAAGGAAAGCAUUGGUGUAAUUAACCUGAUUGUGUCUGUACACUGUAUGUAAGUAUAGUGGUGGUUCAAAAGUACAGUUUUCACAAGUGUAAAUCUGAGUUUAUAAUGUAAGUGUAAAUGUAUAAUGUACAAGUAUAUAACGUAGGUGUACAUUUCCUGCGCUUACAAGUAUAGUGUGGGAGUAAGUAUCAUGCAUGCUCAAGUAUGAAAAACAGCAGAUAUCAGGUGUGCUCAAUUGUUUUGUUUGUGAUUGCAUGUUUCCUGUAAAUACAUACAUGUAAAAUUAGUGUGCAUGUGUGCAUU